CCCUACCUACAAAGCGGCGCCCCUGAUUUUGCCGAAAGUGUUGAGAGUACCUACAAAGUUCCAGGUGUUUGAGAUUCCUUAUUGCAUCAAGGGCUCGUCGGAGCAGUGAAUAUUGAAGAACAACGGCGGCGUCCGUUUCAGAGACGAUCUGUGAGAGCGGAGAAGAAUGGUGAGGUCGGUGGCAUGGGGAUACGUGAGGAUCAUGGCUGGGACAAUCGUCGGCGGUGGUCUUGGUUUCUACGUUAUGCACCGCCUUGAAAUCAGCUACAAGGAGAAGUGGGACGAGCGAUUGAGGAAUUACGAGCAAGAACUCAACAGGAAGAAACAGAAAGCAAAUCAACUUGAACAA